rnacentral:rRNA from 1 species
AUUGAACGCUGGCGGCAGGCCUAACACAUGCAAGUCGAGCGAGCGGCGGACGGGUGAGUAAUGUAUGGGGAACUGCCCGAUGGAGGGGGAUAACUACUGGAAACGGUGGCUAAUACCGCAUACUAUCGGAUGAACCCAGAUGGGCUUAGCUAGUAGGUGGGGUAAAGGCUCACCUAGGCGACGAUCCCUAGCUGGUCUGAGAGGAUGAUCAGUCACACUGGGACUUAGACACGGUCCAGACUCCUACGGGAGGCAGCAGUGGGGAAUAUUGCACAAUGGGCGCAAGCCUGAUGCAGCCAGGCCGCGUGUAUGAAGAAGGCCUUAGGGUUGUAAAGUACUUUCAGCGGGGAGGCGUUACCCGCAGAAGAAGCACCGGCUAACUCCGUGCCAGCAGCCGCGGUAAUUC